AUAAAAUUGUUGUCAGAAACAAUCCUUGCUGUAAAGCUUUCACGAUAUGUGAUUUUAACAGGCCUGGCUAGCUGGGUAAGGCUGUAAGAAUUAUUCAGAGGGAAACUUUUGUGAGAAAAGAGGUCCGUAAACAUGUUGAGGAAGGAGAUUUUCUUUCUCUCGAUAAAGAAAAGAAAAAGAAAGGGUCUGUGGGGCAAAAAGGGAAAGAGAAAGAUUUAAAAUUUUUCAGGAAUCGCCGAGAAUGUUGGACGUGUGGGAAAACUGGUCAUUUCCGCUCGGAGUAUCCCGAGGAGAAGGGAAACGAGGCUUAGUUGAUCUCAAUGGGGUGAGGUCGACUCGCGCUUUAAAUUCCCCGAAAAAUUAUUUUAAAAUUUUUAAUGUUAAUAGAAUUAAGUGUAAUUCCUGUAAUUUUUAUUUUGAAGGAAGAGUUGGAGGAAAAAAAUGUUCUUUCAAGAUCGAUACGGGCUUAGAUGUUUCUAUUGUAAAUAAAAAGUUUAUCGGAAAGGAAAGGAAAAUUUGUAAAGAAAAAUAAUUUAAGAUACCCUACUGGGGAAAAGAUUCCAAUUUUAUUUAAAGUUUUGAUGAAAGUUGAUUUGGGGAAAUUCAGUGAAAUGGUUGAAAUGUUUGUAGCGGAAAUUGAUGAUGAUUGUCUUUUAGGGACGGAUUUCUUAAGGAAAAUUAAUUUAGAAAAUGUUUUCGAAUCAGCUUUUGAUUUUAAAAAAAUUGAAAAAGAAAAAGAAUUCAACUGCUCCCGUUUCUUUAAAUAAGGAAAGCCCAAUUUUCUUGAAAAAACUGCUAGAAAAAAAUUCUGAAAAUUUGUCUUCUAACCAGAAAAAAUUUUUUUAUGGUUUUUUCAAGAAGUUUAGUAAUGUAUUUUCCGAAAAAAUAGUGGCAGGAAAUUGUGAUGUCCUUGAACAUUGUAUUAAUGUUGAAAACUCUCUUUCCAUUAAACAGGUUCCUCGUCGAAUUCCUUUCCAUAUGAGAGAGGAAGUGAAUAAAACCUUAGAAGAGAUAAGAAUUCAGGGUGUAAUAGAGGAAUCAAACAGUCCUUAGGUCUCUCCUGCGGUUUUAGUCAGGAAAAAGGAUGGAUCAUUGAGAUUUUGUGUGGAUUAUCGCAAGUUAAAUUCUGUAACGGUUAAAGAUUCUUUUCCUUUUCCAAGAAUAGACGAUAUUCUCGAUCGUCUUGCAGGUAACUUUUAGUUUUCUACGCUAGAUUUAAGGAGCAGUUAUUGGCAAAUUAAAAUUCGCGCGCAAGAUAAGGAGAAAACUGCCUUUUCGAUCGAUAACGGACUUUGGCAAUUUACGGUAAUGCCCUUUGGUUUAUGUAACGCCCCCACGACCUUCGAAUGAAUGAUGGAGAAAGUUCUUAAGAGUUUAUUGAAUAAGUGUCGUCGCUCGGUAACUCUUUGCAGGAGCUCGAGGAGAGCAGGAAACGACGCAGCUCAGCAAGGGAACCGAAAUUGCAUCUCUUUCAUUGUCGGGACGACAAUGUUUGAGAAGAGAGAGGGUAGUGUUAUAAGCGCGAUGUUCUCGCGCUCAUUGUGAACGGCAGCUGUAGUCGGCUGUCGUGGAAAUCAAUAUAUCGAUCGCCUCGGUCAGCUGUGACAGACGAAGUUGGUUGCCAUGUGAAUGUUGUUAAAAGUCAUGUGGUUGUUGUUCUUGCAAAAAGACAAUUGUCUGAAAUGCCUACAGAUGCGGUCGAUGAGGCAAUUUUAAACUUGGUGGAAAAACGAACUUUGCCCGACACCAUGAAUUCAGAUGAUCUUUUCUAUUUGUCUAUAUCGCGGGAUUCACAGCAUCUAAAUGUAAAUGCAAAAUUACGUUUAAAAACACUUGUAUUACAAGCGCUUUCUCAAGUUGUAGCAGAGAAACAAAAUAAAACUUGAGCGGUUAAAUAUUUUAAAAA